AUUGAACGCUGGCGGCAUGCUUUACACAUGCAAGUCGAACGGUAACAGGCCUUCGGGUGCUGACGAGUGGCGCACGGGUGAGUAAUGCAUCGGAACGUACCCAGAGGUGGGGGAUAACGCAGCGAAAGCUGUGCUAAUACCGCAUGUGAUCUGAGGAUGAAAGCGGGGGACCGAGCAGCAAUGUUUGGCCUCGCGCCUUUGGAGCGGCCGAUGUCGGAUUAGCUAGUUGGUGGGGUAAAGGCCUACCAAGGCGACGAUCCGUAGCUGGUCUGAGAGGACGACCAGCCACACUGGGACUGAGACACGGCCCAGACUCCUACGGGAGGCAGCAGUGGGGAAUUUUGGGCAAUGGGCGCAAGCCUGACCCAGCAAUGCCGCGUGCGGGAAGAAGGCCUUCGGGUUGUAAACCGCUUUUGGCAGGAACGAAACGGUGUCCGCUAAUACCGGGCGCUAAUGACGGUACCUGCGGAAUAAGCACCGGCUAACUACGUG
rnacentral:rRNA from 1 species